rnacentral:rRNA from 1 species
ACUCCUACGGGAGGCAGCAGUGGGGAAUAUUGCACAACGGGCGAAAGCCUGAUGCAGCGACGCCGCGUGAGGGAUGACGGCCUUCGGGUUGUAAACCUCUUUCAGUAGGGAAGAAGCGAAAGUGACGGUACCUGCAGAAGAAGCGCCGGCUAACUACGUGCCAGCAGCCGCGGUAAU